rnacentral:rRNA from 1 species
UUAUAGAGAGCUCUUGCUCCCUGUAUGUUAUUACCACAUUGAUAUUUUGUUCCAUGUUGCUUCCACCACUGAUAAAGUGGUGGGAGGUUUAUUCAAACUAUUCAUUUUGCUUAGGCUUUUGCUCUGUCUGAAUGUGAGGGAAAAUGUUAUAAAACUUUCAACAACGGAUCUCUUGGCUCCUGCAUCGAUGAAGAACGCAGCGAAAUGCGAUAAUUAAUGUGAAUUGCAGAAUUCCGUGAAUCAUCGAGUCUUUGAACGCACAUUGCGCCUCAUGGCAUUCCGUGAGGCAUGCCCAUCUCAGCGUUAGUAAAUACUAUCAAACUUAGGCCUUGUGUUAAAGUUUGGAUCAUGUCGAAGAAGCUAUUGCUAUUAUUGUAAUUGCUCUUUGGAAAUUCAUAGGUCUUCAAGUUGCUAUUAUCGGAGCGUGAUGAAAAUUCCUUCGUUCCAAUGUAGUUGGUUUGUAUAGUCCUAAAAUCUGUGUAUCUUUGGUAUUUCUUAUUGUUUAACCUGAGAUUGGGUAGGGAUACCCGCUGAACUUAAGCAUAUCAAUAAGC